GACGGAAGGUGCAAGCGUUGCUCGGAAUCACUGGGCGUAAAGGGUGCGUAGGCGGCUUGGUAAGUUGGGUGUGAAAGCCCCGGGCUCAGCCCGGGAAGGGCACUCGAAACUGCCGAGCUGGAGUGCCGGAGGGGAGAGUGGAAUUCCUGGUGUAGCGGUGAAAUGCGUAGAUAUCGGGAGGAACACCAGUGGCGAAGGCGGCGAUCUGGGUCGAUACUGACGCUGAGGUGCGAAAGCGUGGGGAGCAAACAGG
rnacentral:rRNA from 1 species